rnacentral:rRNA from 1 species
AGUGGAUGGGGAGCAACCUAGUUGUGCGUGUGUAAAGGUAGUGCCAAGAAAAGCGAUGAUCAUGUUGAAAAUCAAUUCCCGGUACCCGAAACCGACACAGGUGGGCAAGUAGAGAAUACUAAGGGGCGCGAGGUAACUCUCUCCAAGGAACUCGGCAAAAUGACCCCGUAACUUAGGGAGAAGGGGUGCCACCGAGAGGUGGUCGCAGUGAAGAGGCCCAGGCGACUGUUUAGCAAAAACAUAGGUCUCUGCAAACUCGGAAGAGGAGGUAUAGGGGCUGACGCCUGCCCAGUGCCGGAAGGUUAAAGAAGUUGGUCAGUUUUAGGAUGAAGCUAGCGACUGAAGCCCCGGUGAACGGCGGCCGUAACUAUAACGGUCCUAAGGUAGCGAAAUUCCUUGUCGGGUAAGUUCCGACCCGCACGAAAGGCGUAACGAUCUGGGCGCUGUCUCGGAGAGAGGCUCGGCGAAAUAGGAUUGUCUGUGAAGAUACGGACUACCUGCAUUUGGACAGAAAGACCCUAUGAAGCUUUACUAUAGUUUGGAAUUGUGUUCGGGCUUCCUGUGCGCAGGAUAGGUGGGAGGCGUAGAAGGUAUUCUUGUGGGGAUACUGGAGCCAACGGUGAGAUACCACUCUCAGGAGGCUAGAAUUCUAACUUAAUUAAGGACAGUUUCAGGUGGGUAGUUUGACUGGGGCGGUCGCCUCCAAAAAGGUAACGGAGGCGUACAAAGGUUCCCUCAGACUGGUUGGAAAUCAGUCGAAGAGUGCAAAGGCAGAAGGGAGCUUGACUGCGAAAAGUACAGUUCGAGCAGGGUGGAAACACGGUCUUAGUGAUCCGACGGUGCUGUGUGGAAGGGCCGUCGCUCAACGGAUAAAAGUUACUCUAGGAUAACAGGCUGAUCUCCCCCAAGAGUUCACAUCGACGGGGAGGUUUGGCACCUCGAUGUCGGCUCAUCGCAACCUGGGGCGGAAGUACGUCCCAAGGGUUGGGCUGUUCGCCCAUUAAAGCGGUACGUGAGCUGGGUUCAGAACGUCGUGAGACAGUUCGGUCCAUAUCCGAUGUAGGCGUGAGAAUAUUGAGAGGAGCCUUCCUUAGUACGAGAGGACCGGGAAGGACGCACCGCUGGUGUACCUGUUAUGGUGCCAAUUGUAAACGCAGGGUAGCCAAGUGCGGAGAGGAUAACCGCUGAAAGCAUCUAAGUGGGAAGCCCACCUCAAGAUGAGUAUUCUGGUGUAAGGUCACGGGAAGACGACCCGUAAAUAGGCACGAUGUGGAAGUGCAGAGAUGUAUGAAGCCGAAGUGUACUAAUAGACCGUCGGCUUGACC